rnacentral:lncRNA from 1 species
CUGGAAGUUCCCAGGCUAGGGGUUGAAUCUGAGCUGUAGCUGCUGGCCUACACCUCAGCCACAGCAAUGCAGGAUACAAGCUGCAUCUGGAACCUACACCAGAGCUCAGAGCAAUGCCAGAUGCUUAACCCAACCCACUGAGUGAGGCCAGGGAUCAAACCCGAAACCUCAUGGUUCCUAGUCAGAUUCGUUUCUGCUGCGCCCUAACAGGGAACUCCCCAGUCAAGUAUCUAUCUUAAUGUCAAGAAAAUACAAACAAUCUAAACAUCUAAUAAUGGAGAAACAAAUAAACAACUGCAGAACAGCUUCAGUAACUGUGGAAUAGCCACAGUAAGAAAAUACUAGACGGCAGUUUAAAACAUGAAGCAAAUAUAUAUGAACGAAAUGUGGACAACAUAUGCAAGGCACAAACAGGGCAAAUAGUUAUGCAAAAGCAAUAAUAUAUACACACACACACAUAUGCACACACAUAAAACCAUACAUAUUACACCCUCUAUAUUGAAAAAUAAAAGAACAAGGAAAUUAAGUAUUUCCCAGAGGGAUAUGAGGAUACUCAUGUAACACAGUAAAAGCAAAAUAACAGUAUUCACAAAACCGCUGAUAGUUCUUAUUUGAGAAGAGAAAAGAAAGGGCCUGGGGUUAGGGAACAAAUCAAUGAAUGAGGUUUAUACGCACCAUUUCCAUUUUUUACUGGCAGUAUAUAGUUGCUUACUACAAUUAAAAAGUAAUCAUAAAAACAUAGCCGCUUGAAAAGUUCAAUUCAACUUAGGUCGAUCCACCUCUUAAAACUUUGCAGAAAAAGAUCCAAAGUAUAAAAGGAGUUUCAAUCAUUAUGGAAAGUUGACUCCAGUUACAAAGACUAGGGUUAGCUAGUUAAGCAACCCAAUCCUUUUGGAUCUGCCAUGGAUGUACCUGACAUAUGCUCUAUGAAGAGUCUGGGCUACUAUACCACCACCACCACAACAACAAUUCAGUAGUUCCUGCUAUGGCACUCAGACUGCAGGAGCUCAGGUUGCUGCAGAGGUGUGGGUUUGAUCCCCAGCCCAGUACAGUGGGUUAGAGAACCUUGCAUUGCUGCAGCUGCACAGGUCACAGCUGCAGCUAAGAUUCAAUUCCUGGCACAGGAACUUGCAUCAAAAAUUCACUGUCUAAGUAUAGCCGGCUUUUGAUUACUGUGUGAACGUCCCUCACACAUCAUGGUUUCCUAUUUCAUUAAGUUCACCUAUUCUCUUCAGUGACAAUAAGCAGUCCCUGGGCUUCAGGUGGCCACAGUAAAUCAUGUUCUCAUCAGUUAUGCUACAGUAUCCUGUUCUAUUUCAAAUCCAUUAUCCAGGGAAAGCUUUCAAAUAGUUUAAAUCAUAUAGUGCUCUUCCCUUCACCUACCCCUAUAUUUUCAUUGCCUUUCCAGUUUAUAAAAUAAAGCUCUGGAAAAGUAUUCAGGAAUUUCCCAUGCAGAAGGUUCCAAUACUUUAUUCAGGUAAGAAAUGUGUAAACCAAACCAUCCACCAUUAUGCCGAUUUGAAAGCACUAAUUGUGGCAGUGGUUUUCUAAAGAAUGUUAUCUAUUUCCAUCCUGUACGAAUUUAGGAGAAACUGUGGUUUCCUGUUCCAGGGUGUUGUCCAAAAACGACUCUACAGAAGUCUGCAAAAAUAAUCCUUGGCGUUUUGUUUCAAGAGGAAUACUUGGAGUGUUUCCCACUGAGAAAGGAAAUGGGCUUGUCCCGACUGCAAAAGGCCUCAUGUACUCCAAAGACAGCAAGAACAUACAUAAUUUUGGUUUUUAACAAUGUUUAAUGAAGUUGCUCUUUCACAAACUCUCUGGGAGGGGGCCUGCGCUGUGAUGUCAAAUAAGCUUCAGGCUGAUUGCCAGUCAGUCGAUCUGUUCUGAGACUUCCCUGAACCUCAGUUUCCUCAGCUCUCUUACAAAAUGGAUGUUACACCUGCCUCUUCAUAAGAUUUGUUGUUAAGGAUUAAAAUGAAUGCUCUGAAUGGAGCAGAAUGCCUGGCACAUAGUAGGGCCAAUAAUGGUUUCACCGAACACACACACAACACACAUUACAUCCACAUAUUUUUUUUUCAUAAAUAAGAGUUUUAGAUUGAGUACAGAACUCAAGAAACAGUAUGCUGAACUAUUUAAGGAAGGAUAGUUCUUUAUGUUUCAUAUUCAUUACAGCAAUGACUUCAGCUUAACAAAACGCUUAAUGAGUAAAAAUAGUUUGAAAUAACAAUACUAAUUUGAAAAGAUAAAAUAAUUUUUAAGAUAUUAGUUGCUAUAAAAGGUAUGUAUAUUAAAUAUACUCUAAAGCACAGCCCCACUCUCAAAAGAACAUCCUUAACUUGAAAAGGUAAAAAAAAUGCAAACAUUCUUCAGCAUCUUCCCUUUAAUUCUGACUCACUGAAGGCCAAGUUUGCCAGCAGAGACAUUUCAGGCCUGAAAGGAGUGGCUGGAAGGUUAGGCACACAAACUGUUUUCUCUGCACCAAGGACCUGAAGAGCCCUCCUAGCAUUCAUGGUACAACCCCUUGAAAAGAGGGCACAGGCUGCAGAAAGGAUGGCAACUUCACCCCAUCAGAGUUCACACUCAUGGCCAGCAAAUUCAAAUCCCAUCUGGAAGGAGGGGCAGCCCCCACAGGGAGGCUUUCACCUCUACUCCUGGCCUGGAAGGUUUUUCCCUGCCAGCCCCGUGUCCUAGACAGGUUCACAGGCAUCUACUCGCCAGCCAAGGGAAAGGGCGCAUGUCCUCAGCCAUGGCUGGGAACUGGGAAGGGCUCUGUGCCCCUUCCACAUGGUGAAGCAGCUAUAAAACUAGAGCAGCAAACUCUCAUCUGCCCCUCUAUUUACAGCUCAUGGCGGGGGGAGUCUUGCAAACACUUUAAUAUAGCCUGAAGAAAACAAGGGGUGGGGGGAGAAGCAGAGCUGGAUACAAAGGGAAGCUCUAUAUAUAGAAUGUAAUUAUGUAAGAGUUUAACCAGGGAAGCAGAAUCAGAAAUUCAUCCUGCACAGAAGACACGGCUGUCUUGGCCGCUUUCUCCAUCUCCUCCAGAACAGGAAGUCCCCCUGAAUACUUGGCUGGCUGACCAGCACAGAUUUAAUGCAGAGUCUUUUUUUUUUUUUUUUUUUUUUUUGCAACUUUUAAAUCACUUAUGUGUUUUGCCCUGGAUUUCAGGACAAAGAACAUACUUCAUAUAACGCAUUCAACCUUUUGUACUUUUUUCAGCUUAAGCUAUGAGCGGCCUGGAAUCCCCUGAAGAGUACUAUCUAACAGAACUUUCUCUAACAAGAGAGAUCCUCAGUAUCUUCACCAUCCAAUACAGUAGGUGCUAGACAAGUGUGGCUACUUAGGGCUCCAAAACAUGGCUAGGGAGCUGAGUGUAUUUGUUUGUCCUUUGCCAGGGCUGCGUAACAAAGCAUCACAAAGUAGAUGGCUUACGUACCAGAAAUGUAUUGUCCCAUGAUUCUGGAAGCCAGAAAUCCAAAACCAAAGUGUGAACAGGGUUGAUUCCUUCCCAGGGCUGUGAGGUGAAAUCUGUCCCAUGCCUCCCUCCUAGUUUCUGGGGGUUUGCAGGCAAUCUUCGCCAUUCCUUGACUUGCAGAAACAGCACCUUAAUCUCUGCCUUCAGGUUCACAUGGCAUUCUUCUUGUGUAUGCAUCUGUGUCCCUGUUUCCCCUUUUUAGAAGGAAGCUUGUCCUAUUGGAUUAGGGGCUCAUCCUACUCCAGUAUAAUCACCUUAACUAACUACAAUUGCAAUGACCCUAUUUUCAAGAAAGAGUACAUUCUGAGGUACAGGGGUUAGGACCUCAAUGUAUAAAUUAGGAGAGAAUACAAUUCAAACCAAAAGACUGAGGGUGUUAUUUUUAAUUUUAUUUCAUUCUUAUUGGUUUGAAUUUAAAUGGUCACAGGUAGCUAGCCACUACUGUUUUAAGACAGCACAGCUCUAAAAUAUUUUCUCUCUCACUGGACUCAUUCACCAGGGGCUUACUGGAUUCCAGGCACUGUGUGAAGCCCUACACCUGGGGUGUACUUUCACCACCAGUUACCCAAGGAGGAAGCCUAGGUUCAGAGAGGGUAAAUACUUGUUCUUUGUUCAAGGUCAAAAAGCCAGCAAGUCAGAACUUGACUCAGCAGGUAAAGUUUUGUUACUCCAUAGCCCAUGCUUAAGAGCUAAUCCAGCAGCUGCUUCCAUUACAGUUUAACUUCUGAAACUGUCCUGGGACAUAAGACAGUCACAUGGAUGAUUACAUUCCCAGCUGCCUCUAAUGGGAAGACAUUUUAUUAUUAUCCCCACUUAACAAAUGAGAAAACUGAGGCUUUCAAAGGUUACAGCCCAACUAGAAAAAUUAUGCUUCAGGUUACAGAGCAAAUGAAUGUCCUCAACUCAUAUCUGUCAGGAUUCUAAAACUCUCUUCCUGAGCUACUCUGCCACAUGACUUCAUACAAGUUAUUAAACAUAUGCUUACAUACCAAUAAAAAUAAUGGAAAAGACUACACUACAUGAUAUGAAGUUUUCCAGAGCCUCCAAAGGGAUUCACCUUUCAAAGAGCCCUUGCCGUUUAACACACAGAACUAAAAGACUCUCUUUUCUAACCUUCUACAAUACACACCCUUAUGCCAAGUGUAUUCCUUGAAGAUAUUUCUGGCGAGAAAGGUUUAGCUCAAGUAAUGGUUUUUGCAAGAGAGUUUAAGGAUGAAGUAUGUGACUUAAAAAAAACCCGACAUCAUGGCUUUUCAAGGGGAAAAUUGAAACGUUAUUUCAAGUCCCCAGAUAAUAAGAUCAAUAGACAACUUCCCAGUGGAGGCAUUUGCUGCCGACUGACUAAAGAAACAGUCUCCACAGUUUCCCUUAAGAGGCCACCCCACAGUUUAAUCGUCCUCACUGUUAGGGUUUUUGUUCACAUCUAUAGCCUAAAAUUCUUUCUGCUAAAUUUCAACAUGGUAUCCACCAGCUGCUCUCCUAGAUAAACAAUGCCUCUUAGGGAUUUGCACCCACUAAAAACCCUUGACUGGUAACCAUUCAUGCAGUCCCUACAAAUUACCUGCAAGGUGACUAUCAAAUUAUUAAUAUGGUUUGAAAACACAAAAGAAUAAUAUGAAACAAUCUU